rnacentral:rRNA from 1 species
AUUGAACGCUGGCGGCAGGCCUUACACAUGCAAGUCGAACGAGUGGCGGACGGGUGAGUACUGUCUGGGAACCUGCCUGAUGGCGGGGGAUAACUCCUGGAAACGGUCGCUAAUCCCGCAUACCAUCGGAUCUGCCCAUAUGGGAUUAGCUAGUAGGUGGGGUAAAGGCUCACCUAGGCGACGAUCCCUAGCUGGGCUGAGAGUAUGACCAGCCACACGGGAACUGAGACACGGUCCAGACUCCUACGAGAGGCAGCAGUGGGGAAUAGUGCACAAUGGGCGCAAGCCUGAUGCAGCCAUGCCGCGUGUAUGAAGAAGGCCUUCGGGUUGUAAAGUACUUUCAGCGGGGAGGCGUUACCCGCAGAAGAAGCACCGGCUAACUCCGUGCCAGCAGCCGCGGUAAUUC